rnacentral:rRNA from 1 species
AACGAACGCUGGCGGCAUGCCUAACACAUGCAAGUCGAACGAGACCUUCUGGUCUAGUGGCGCACGGGUGCGUAACGCGUGGGAACCUGCCCUUAGGUUCGGAAUAACUCCCCGAAAGGGGUGCUAAUACCGGAUAAUGUCUUCGGACCAAAGAUUUAUCGCCUUUGGAUGGGCCCGCGUUGGAUUAGCUAGUUGGUAGGGUAAAAGCCUACCAAGGCGACGAUCCAUAGCUGGUCUGAGAGGAUGAUCAGCCACACUGGGACUGAGACACGGCCCAGACUACUACGGGAGGCAGCAGUGGGGAAUAUUGGACAAUGGGCGAAAGCCUGAUACAGCAAUGCCGCGUGAGUGAUGAAGGCCUUAGGGUUGUAAAGCUCUUUUAACCGGGAUGAUAAUGACAGUACCGGGAGAAUAAGCUCCGGCUAACUCCGUG